rnacentral:rRNA from 1 species
UAGCAGCCGCGGUAAUACGUAGGGUGCGAGCGUUGUCCGGAAUUACUGGGCGUAAAGAGCUCGUAGGUGGUUUGUCGCGUUGUUCGUGAAAUCUCACGGCUUAACUGUGAGCGUGCGGGCGAUACGGGCAGACUAGAGUACUGCAGGGGAGACUGGAAUUCCUGGUGUAGCGGUGGAAUGCGCAGAUAUCAGGAGGAACACCGGUGGCGAAGGCGGGUCCCUGG